AGAUGAAACCCUACAAACCUGGGGCAUGUUCCUCGUCCCGCCGCUAAGGAAAGACAUACAAAAGGAGCAGGAAGGAACCAGGAAGAUGUCAGUUUACAUCAGCUAGAGAUUUCUGUAAUGGAGCAAAAACAAUGCGUCUUUUAGGUCUCAUUUUUUCACCUGGGUAUUUUGUGUAAUGGAGCAAACAAUGAAUAUUGGAGAUGCAUCUAUCAUUUUGUAAACCUGUUGGGUGAUUCGGUCGUUGAAUCGUAAAUGUUUCCUUUACUUGUGAGAAGUAAUUAAUAUGUUAUCCUUC